UACGGAGGGUGCAAGCGUUAUCCGGAUUCACUGGGUUUAAAGGGUGUGUAGGCGGGGAUUUAAGUUAGUGGUGAAAUCUCCAGGCUCAACCUGGAAACUGCCAUUGAUACUAUUUACCUUGAAUUCUGUUGAGGUGGGCGGAAUACAUCAUGUAGCGGUGAAAUGCUUAGAUAUGAUGUAGAACACCAAUUGCGAAGGCAGCUCACUAAACAGACAUUGACGCUGAGGCACGAAAGCGUGGGGAUCAAACAGG
rnacentral:rRNA from 1 species